CGGGAAAAGCUCAAAUUUAAAAUCUGGCGGCCUUUGGCUGUCCGAGUUGUAGUCUGGAGAAGUGCUUUCCGCGCUGGACCGUGUAUAAGUCUCUUGGAACAGAGCGUCAUAGAGGGUGAGAAUCCCGUCUUUGACACGGACUACCAGUGCUUUGUGAUGCGCUCUCAAA
rnacentral:rRNA from 1 species